CGUGAAGCACAUCCCGAGUAGAAACAUAUCACGCUCGCUCGACGUUCGCCGUCGCCGUCGACUUCAAUCCUGAUUGCCCUGUUGCCGUCCAGGUCACUUUGAGGUUAGGUCGGUCAAAUUGGCUCUCUCGGAAAUAUGAAGUACACUCAGGAUAGAAUAUUACUGAUAUUUCAGGAGAACGUGUUUAGUGAAUCCAAGGUUUGCGUAUGGUGUGUAAAGGACUGCCACCUCAUCCAAAAACAUUACUAACGAAGGCGUCAUCUUCAUGGUUUUUCGAUCACUGCGUCCAUUGUUACCACGUUUCAACACACUGUCUUCUAAUUCAAAUGUAAUGGAAUAGAAAAUGUCGCUUAGUUUGUAAUAUUAUAGAU